rnacentral:rRNA from 1 species
GCAGCCUGCAACUCGGCUGCAUGAAGCUGGAAUCGCUAGUAAUCGCGGAUCAGAAUGCCGCGGUGAAUACGUUCCCGGGUCUUGUACACACCGCCCGUCACACCAUGGGAGCCGGGAAUGCCCGAAGUCAGUGGCCCAACCGCAGGGAGGGAGCUGCCGAAGGCAGGCCUGGUGACUGGGGUGAAGUCGUAACAAGGUACC